CCCUCUCAGCAGCCUCCUCCCACCUCUCUCAAAUGCAAAUGGAUUUCUCAAUAUCCUCUCCGUUCUUUACACUUUGAACCCCUUUUCUUUACAGCCUUAUGCUGCACCCCGGAUCUUUAUCCUUAACAUUCAACUCAACAAAUGCUUAUGGAGUGCCAACUAUGGGCAAAGCCCUGUGAUAAACAGAGUGCAAGAUGUAAAGCUGAGGAAGGUCCCUGCUCUCAGUUUAGAUUCUAGCCAGAGAGCUCAGGCCAGGUAAAGUAGAGGAAGCAGAGAGUACAAAUCAGGGCCCUGUUUUUUGACCAGCUGAUGCAGAAAGGGCAGGCGGGACUGAGGCUGUGAGCACACAGGAGGGCCUGGGCAGACGAGGGCAUGAUGGUACGCAGAUCAACUACAAGACUGACUGUCCACACCUCCUCUCUCAAAUGAGGCGCUCCCUUCAACUACUUAAAAACAGGUGCCGUUUAUUAUUAUUGCCAUUACCUUCAGCUCCCGUUUUCUCCUAAGCUGGAUAUGAUCUGGGAUCUUCCAAGGCUGGGUGUGAGGCAGACUCAGCUCCAAGAUGGCAGAUCCCUUUCCAUAAACAUUUGCUUGAGGUUCUACUUUGACCUGAGUACGAAAUCCUAUUUGUCAACUGAGUUCUGCGGCCAACCUUUCAAUAGGAGGAAGUACCAUAUAAUUUCGAAGAAGUUUCUAGCAGACGAAUUGGUCACAAAUUUUGAAGUCAAGAAAAAUCGUCUAUUUUGAAAAUGAGGUGGGAGCCCCAAACCAGAGGACUGAUGUGAAUGAACAGCUGAGCAAGGGUGAAGUCUCUCUGUUCAGAAGGGGCAGUGCUAAGCUCUCCCGGAGGGUGGCCACGUGGGGCUACUGAACCCUUGAAAUGUGGCUAGUGUGAAUUGGGAUAUAUACCGUAGGCAUAAACAUACACUGGAUUUUGAAGACGUCGUACAAAAAAAAAGCCACCAUAAAAUACCUCAAAAAAUUUAAAUAACAAUUAUGUUAUAAUGGUAAUAUUUCAGACAUAUUGAGUUAAAUAUUUUAUUAGAAUAUUAUUAGAUUUUAUUAAACUUAACCUCACCUGGGGCGCCUGGGUGGCUCAGCCGAUUAAACGUCCGACUCUUGCUUUCAGCUCAGAUCAUGAUCUCGUGAUUUCGUGAGUUCGAGCCCUGCAUCGGGCUCUGUACUGACAGCUUGGAGACCGCUUGGGAUUCUCCGCCCAUCCCCCUCUCUCUGCCCCUCCCCUACUCAUGCUGUCUCUGUUCCUCUCAAAAUAAAUAAACUUAAAAAAAAUUAACUUCA
rnacentral:lncRNA from 1 species